rnacentral:tRNA from 1 species
CUCCCCGUAGCUCAGUCGGAUAGAGCGUAGGAUUCCUAAUCCUAAGGCCACUGGUUCGAAUCCAGUCGGGGAGGCCA